rnacentral:rRNA from 1 species
GCCGCGGGAUUGUUGAAGGGGAAACGGUUGAAGUCAGUCUGCCGGCGUUGGAUUCCUUUGCUUCGCGGAACAGGGGUAUUUCCCCGCAUGGCAGGUCCAUCUCAGUUUUUUCGGCGUGAAAAGGCUCGGGUAAGGUAGCUCUCUUCGGGGAGUGUUAUCUACUUUAGAAGAUGCGCCGAGCACUGAUGAUUAUUGCAAAUGACGGGCUAAUGAUCUCUUCUCUGACCAUCUUCUGUUGAACUUCUUGUUGAUGAUGAGCGGAUGAUGGUGUUGUAAUAUGAUGGAAUCCAAAUUUUUUGCUGAUGAUGUUGACAUAAUAAUCACUGCGG